rnacentral:lncRNA from 1 species
CCUCCCACCCCCUACCACCCUCCACCUCGGCCUUACCACAGCGAACCCGACUACCCUGAUGUCCCACCCAAGUACACCUACAACUACGGCGUCGCCGACGGCUACUCCGGCGUCAACCUCGGCCACUCGGAAGCCCGCGACGGCUACAGGACCGAGGGUAGCUACACCGUCGACCUCCCCGACGGCCGCAAGCAGAUCGUCAACUACGUGGACAACGGCGACGGUCUUGUAGCUGAGGUCACCUACGAGGGCGAAGCUCAGUACCCUGAGCACAGGCCCGCUCCCCCCGUCUACCCUGCUCCCCAUGCGUAGAGACAUGUUAAGAAUAUUGGACAUAUCAAAUCAUUUUCAAGUUUACUUACUCAUCGUCCAUCUUCACAGAUAUAUUUGUUUGUUACUACGUUUUUAUAUGCAUCAAUAAACUUUUGCUUGUGUGAAA